AUUUUUUUAGUAUAAUUGUACAAAUGACUUCCACUCAUUAAGUCCUGGUUUAAGCCCAGGGAAAAAUA
rnacentral:tRNA from 1 species